ACCCUGCAUGGCUUGGUUGCGUGGCUUGCAGAGUGAAUGUAAAGGAAACAUAGUGGAUAUGGAGAAAGAAAGCCAGAGAGAGGUCUUCUCGCUGUUUGGUAGAUAGAGAGAAGAGGGAGAUUCUGGGUUGCGCAUCUUCCAGCUCUGGUGACGACUAAUUGAAUUUCUUGGUGGAGUCGUAUUUGCGCAUAAUUGGAGAGCCAAAGAGCCAAAGCUUCAGUCUGUAUUUCGUCAGGUCAUUUGCUGGGUUUUGGGGGAAUAUGGAACUGCUAAUGGAAAGCAUUCUGCUUCAUAUAUCACUGGAGAGAAGGGAAAUUGUAUAGUUAAUGGACAAUUGGAAGGAAUAUGUUCAAGCCAUGAGAAUCUCGCCUGUCUUUCCUGAGAACCGUUUAAAAAUUGGUCAAGAGCUUACCAGGGGUCUUGGUGCUGGAAGAAACCCAUGCCAGACAUUGGUGUGAAUGCUGUCAAAGAAAGCCUAGAAUCAUAGAAGAAGCACUAUAUGGGUCAGACAUGGUAUUCAUUAUGGCUAGAAUGGGUGGAGGAAUUCGCUGCUCCGGUAGUUGCAGGUGUUGCAAAAUCAAUGGGAAACUUCAAGUAUCCUUUUCUGACUAUGGUUGUAAUGAGAUAAUUCGGAAUAUGAGAGUAUUACGUUUGGAUUUGAUUUUACAGCAUUUUAGAAUUUGAUCUCAGCUAUGUAAAGUCAUUGACAUUUUAAGAAUAUAUUGGCUGAUGAGAGGUUCAAAGAGAUUAUGAAUGAAUUACCAUCUCACAUUAGGUUAUAAACAUGAAUUCAGGAAAAAAAAACAUAACCCCGCAGCAUCGAGUGGGCGAGUUGCCUAGUUACCUAUUUUAAACCUCUAACUCCUUAUGAAUAGUAAUUUGCCCUGCUGCUUUUCCCAUAGUUUGCUCAUUACCCUUGCCACCUGUUGAUCUGUUGAGCCACCACCUAAUUACUUUGAGUGAUGGCGGGUCGCCCUUUCUCUGCUGAGCAGAAGAGACAGGAGCUGAAAGAGAGACGUUGUUUGCCUGGCAGAAAGAGAGUUGAAGAGGUGGAUUGAUAGAGGGUGACAUACGCAGAGGUUGUAUUCGUUUUCCCAGGCGUUGUUGAGAUUGUUAUUCAUUUUGAAGCUUAUGGAUUUUCAGGGAGGAUGAGCAUAGUAUCAAAAGAAAUUGACUGAGGAAUGUGCAACCAAUAAUUUUUCUUAAUCUGUUUCAGUUUUUGCUAAAUUCUGUCAUUUCCAGUGUUUUCUGAAAUCUAACUCACUCAAUUUAAUGCCUUUUAUGUUAUUCUUUAGGUGAGACAGAGAUGAUUGUUCCUCUUCUUUGCUACAGAAAUUGAGCCGCUGGAGGUUUCAUUUGCAGUAGUUGUAAUUAUUUCUUAUAUCAAUGCUGUGAUUUGGUGUUGAAGCAUCUUUCAGUCAUGCAAAAACAAGGGCUGAGGGACUUACAGUGGAGGUGAUACUUUAAACCCUGAAAAUAGGGUGUUACUUGAUCAUUGGACGUUGGAAAAGAUGAGGGAUGCUGAACGCCUCAAUGAGGUACUUUGUAUCAGUGUUAUCAACUGAAAUUAUGUGUUUGAUAGUAGUAGGUUUUUGCUGCUUAAGGUGUGAUAUAUAUUAACCUUAGUUGAUGGUUCUUGAUACCUCCGAAUUUUUGUAUUGGAUGACUAUGCCAAUCUAUGCUUUAUUGCAUACAUAAUCGUGCCAUUACAAAUUUGAGCAUCGCAAAUGAAUAACAGUGCUUUACUUUGUAGGCAUGGGGUUUGACCCUUUUUUCACCAGUAUUUAUAAUUAUUUGACAUAAAGCCUCUAGAAACCAAACCUAAGUGUAUCAAAGUGGUUAUUGAACCUUUCAAAAAAAAAAAAAGUGGUUAUUGAAAAAGGCCCUUACUGUCAUUGUUUCUCAUAACAUGGGACAUCUUGGAGUUCUAAUUUCUCAAUUAAAACACAUAUGUUUUUUUCUUUAAGUUUAUAUUGUUUUUAAAUCUGCCCUAUUUUGAAUAAAUUUCGGGAUGAAAUGAAGCAGCUAGCUAAGAUUGAGAUAUAUAAAAUGUAGCAAAUUUCCUGCUCUUUGUAACCAGUGGUAAGGCAUUAUCAAUUUUGCUAACUAGAACGAUUUUGAAAAUAGUUAGAUUCUUUCUUACAACAGUUGAUGAGAUAAUAGAGAGAUAGCAUUGGUUGAGCGAAGACUAUAUUUUAGUUUUGAGCAACUAGGAAUGAGUUCAUUUGGCUGGCAACAAUCAACAUAUUGUGUUGGACAUGCAAAGUUGUGUCCACAUUGUUCAUAAUGAAUUACUGUUUGUCAGCUCUGUUUUUGUUCUUUGUAUAUCUCCAGAUUCUGUACUAAUUAUGCUUGCUCGUGCAGGGUGACAUUGUCUUUGCAUCUAUUAUGGCAACUCUUGGACUGCAAAUAUUGCUCGAGUCUGCUUGAGAACUGAUCUCAAAGGUAAGCGAUCCAUUUGUUUUCCCUACUCCAACCUGAAAAUUGGAGCCGAACGAUCUCUAGAUUUCGGACUCUGAUUCGGUUGGUUUUGUGGAAUGUAUUGCUGAUAUGCUCCCUUUUAACUGGCUUCUUAGAGGGUUCCAAUUUGGCAUAUUGAAAAGAUUUCUGUGGAGGCAUAUCCAUAAAUUUUCACUGUUAUUGUAUCACCUGAAUUAGCAAAUCAUAAGAGUUAAAAACUGGAUUGCUAAGUUCUGUUAUUCUAUAUAUUCAGUAGUUCGGUCA